rnacentral:rRNA from 1 species
GAUGAACGCUAGCGAUAGGCUUAACACAUGCAAGUCGAGGGGUAACGUGUUGGAAGCUUGCUUCCGAUGACGACGACCGGCGGAUGGGUGCGUAACGCGUAUGCAACUUGCCUCACAGUGGAGAAUAACCCGGAGAAAUCCGGACUAAUACUCCAUACACUCUUAAGUACGCCUGUACAUGAGAGGAAAGAUUUAUCGCUGUGAGAUAGGCAUGCGUCCUAUUAGGUAGUUGGUGAGGUAACGGCUCACCAAGCCGACGAUAGGUAGGGGUGCUGAGAGGCAGAUCCCCCACAUUGGGACUGAGACACGGCCCAAACUCCUACGGGAGGCAGCAGUGAGGAAUAUUGGUCAAUGGAGGAAACUCUGAACCAGCCAAGUCGCGUGAAGGAAGAAUGUCCUAAGGAUUGUAAACUUCUUUAGCGAGCGAGUAAGGACUUCCACGGGAUGGGAGUUUGAAAGUAGCUCGAGAAUAAGUAUCGGCUAACUCCGU